rnacentral:rRNA from 1 species
CCUACGGGAGGCAGCAGUGAGGAAUAUUGGUCAAUGGACGCGAGUCUGAACCAGCCAAGUAGCGUGAAGGAUGACUGCCCUAUGGGUUGUAAACUUCUUUUAUAUGGGAAUAAAAUGCUCCACGUGUGGCAUUUUGUAUGUACCAUAUGAAUAAGGAUCGGCUAACUCCGUGCCAGCAGCCGCGGUAAUACGGAGGAUCCGAGCGUUAUCCGGAUUUAUUGGGGUUAAAGGGAGCGUAGGUGGAUUGUUAAGUCAGUUGUGAAAGUUUGCGGCUCAACCGUAACAUUGCAGUUGAAACUGGCAGUCUUGAGUACAGUAGAGGUGGGCGGAAUUCGUGGUGUAGCGGUGAAAUGCUUAGAUAGCACGAAGAACUCCGAUUGCGAAGGCAGCUCACUGGACUGCAACUGACACUGAGGCUCGAAAGUGUGGGUAUCAAACAGGAUUAGAGACCCUGGUAGUC